rnacentral:lncRNA from 1 species
GUAAAAAUUUACUUAUAAGAAUAUGAUGUAAAGAUUAAACUGGAAAGUGAUAUGUAAGCAAAACAUUAUCACAGUAGCGGCUGGCAGGAAGCAUUUGUGGCAUCUCAGACUAGCCCAUUGUUCUCAUCACCGCAUAGCCAUUUAUUUAAUUUCUCUUUUCCUGUGAGGAGGAAGCGUUGUACUCUAGCCCAGGCAUUGGUGCUUAUACUGUGCACGUCACUAUUCUAGGCAUUGGGACAACACACGAAUGCGAUCCUUGACCUUGAGGAACUCAAAAGAGGAGAGAGUCAUUUAUGGAAGCUGUUCAAGGACAACUAUGAAUGGAGCUCUAAUGGAGCGUGUGUAUCAACGGAGAACGUACCAUUGGAUACAACAGUGCCUAAAAUCUCACACUUGGAAAUGCUUGAUGAAGGUGUUCACAGUUUAAUGCGGCUUAUGGAUUUAUACAGAUUAUUACAAAUAUUGCAUGGGUCUCUUGGCGUCCUCUGGAUCUCUCUUCUGUCUGGUGAAAAUUGUGGGAAAAUGGAGAAGAACAGCUCAGACUCCCUUAUGAAAUGCAUAAAAUCAGCAUUCCUUCUCUAUUACAGCCACCCUAGCUUUGUAUUGAGAAGUUGUGAAGCUAUUUUCCCCCCCCGGGGAAAAGAUGAAAAGCAUCAUACGCUUUUCGCUUCCCCCCUUUAAAAUUAUUAACACUACUUUGUCCUUGCCUAUUCACCUACCUCUUCCACUUAAACAUAGGGCCACGGUUUAAGGGGUGGGGGGACUGAGUAUUAUUUCAGUGAU